ACAGACGAUGGAGUUCACCACUAUUACAAUAUACUAAAGAAUCGGAACGUCACGAAACACUUCACGGUCAUAACGAAGUGGAAGACGGACAAUGCUAAUGCGGCGGGAAUUCGCUUUCGGGUAACGCGGGUUUAACAUGACGUAGGCAGGCAAGCAGCUAAUGGGCUCGAAAGUGCCGAAAGACUAUAUGUACAAUAAAACGGCUUUAACGAAACUUUCGUCGUUGCGGUCGAUCGGCGUGGUAAUGGCCGGUCUAUAUAUAUAUAUAUAUUAUAUAAAUGUAUAUAUGUAUAUGCGCCUGACGGAGUAUAUAGACACAUAAAACGUCGAAAAGUGAAUAAGACCGUGUCCGACCAAUUCAAAUUAGAAUACAGAGUGUUACAAGGCUGGCCCAUUACGUGUCACUCUGUUUCCGACGUUGAUAAAUGACAGUCACGACCCCCGCCAAAGUACACUGCUGACGAAAUUUGUGUUCAACUGUUAUGGAAAUGGGUUCGGGGCCAGCCGAUGCGCAAGAGAAUAUAAUAACAACAAUAAUAAUGUGUAUAAUAAUUGUUGGGCACAAAGCUAAAAGCGAUGCGCUUAAUAUUUUGGACGUUACAUAUUAUUAUACAAUGCACCAAAACGAGCCAUAAGGUGUCAUGUGGGUGGACAGUGUUCGGUGUAAUGAUAAUAAUAUUAUAUAGUAUAUAUUAUGUACAAGCCAUUUGUGCACGAGUAAAAAUGAGUUUAA